CGGGUGAGUAACACGUGGGUAACCUGCCUCAUAGAGUGGAAUAGCCUUCCGAAAGGAAGAUUAAUACCGUAUAACGUUGAAAGAUGGCAUCAUCAUUCAACCAAAGGAGUAAUCCGCUAUGAGAUGGACCCGCGGCGCAUUAGCUAGUUGGUGGGGUAACGGCCUACCAAGGCGACGAUGCGUAGCCGACCUGAGAGGGUGAUCGGCCACAUUGGGACUGAGACACGGCCCAG
rnacentral:rRNA from 1 species